UAAAGAUUCAUCGCUGAUAGAUAGGCAUGCGUUCCAUUAGGCAGUUGGCGGGGUAACGGCCCACCAAACCGACGAUGGAUAGGGGUUCUGAGAGGAAGGUCCCCCACAUUGGUACUGAGACACGGACCAAACUCCUACGGGAGGCAGCAGUGAGGAAUAUUGGUCAAUGGGCGUAAGCCUGAACCAGCCAAGUCGCGUGAGGGAUGAAGGUUCUAUGGAUCGUAAACCUCUUUUAUAAGGGAAUAAAGUGCGGGACGUGUCCCGUUUUGUAUGUACCUUAUGAAUAAGGAUCGGCUAACUCCGUGCCAGCAGCCGCGGUAAUACGGAGGAUCCGAGCGUUAUCCGGAUUUAUUGGGUUUAAAGGGUGCGUAGGCGGCCUUUUAAGUCAGCGGUGAAAGUCUGUGGCUCAACCAUAGAAUUGCCGUUGAAACUGGGAGGCUUGAGUAUGUUUGAGGCAGGCGGAAUGCGUGGUGUAGCGGUGAAAUGCUUAGAUAUCACGCAGAACCCCGAUUGCGAAGGCAGCCUGCCAAGCCAUGACUGACGCUGAUGCACGAAAGCGUGGGGAUCAAACAGGAUUAGAUGCCCUGGUAGUCCACGCAGUAAACGAUGAUCACUAGCUGUUUGCGAUACACAGUAA
rnacentral:rRNA from 1 species